UUAUUUCUUUGUUUUGCUUCGCAUUCUUUUUUCUCCAAAACCAUUGGAUCUUUGAAGAAAGAGCUGCCUGUGGUCGAAGGUCUGAUAA
rnacentral:ribozyme from 18 species